ACACUCCUACGGGAGGCAGCAGUGGGGAAUUUUGGACAAUGGGCGAAAGCCUGAUCCAGCAAUGCCGCGUGUGUGAAGAAGGCCUUCGGGUUGUAAAGCACUUUUGUCCGGAAAGAAAUCCUUGGCUCUAAUACAGUCGGGGGAUGACGGUACCGGAAGAAUAAGCACCGGCUAACUACGUGCCAGCAGCCGCGGUAAUACGUAGGGUGCGAGCGUUAAUCGGAAUUACUGGGCGUAAAGCGUGCGCAGGCGGUUUGCUAAGACCGAUGUGAAAUCCCCGGGCUCAACCUGGGAACUGCAUUGGUGACUGGCAGGCUAGAGUAUGGCAGAGGGGGGUAGAAUUCCACGUGUAGCAGUGAAAUGCGUAGAGAUGUGGAGGAAUACCGAUGGCGAAGGCAGCCCCCUGGGCCAAUACUGACGCUCAUGCACGAAAGCGUGGGGAGCAAACAGGAUUAGAAACCCUAGUAGUCCCAUGAG
rnacentral:rRNA from 1 species